rnacentral:piRNA from 1 species
GCUAGGUUUGGACCUGGUGCCUUACUAGUGA